AUGCACUGUGAAAGAAAUUAUGUUGUAGAGACCCAAACCUUGGAAGUUUUUAUAUCUGGAGAGUUCCAAAGAGUGCCACUUCCGGUUCCAGAGGUCUUGGAUUUGAAAUGGACGAUCAAAGAGUCAAAAAUCGUUCUUUCUGGAGCCAUGGAACAUGAAACAUGGGGACUUAAAAGUGUCACCUCAGGAAUUAACAAACACAAAAAUGUGUGCCCAGCCCCAAACCACUUUCUGAGAGGUAAGAUAAAUUGUAGGAACCUGUCCACAUCACAGCACAUGUAAUCGAAUAGACUUUGAAAAGGCAUGAUGUGACUUGAGGAUCCUAGAUCCUGGAUCUUUUCUGCCUGCCAAACGUGUGGCCUUUCUGUGCAAAGGAGGUGUCCUGCUAGAGCCACCAGGAGGCCACUCACAUUAAACACGAGAGUACUGUCCUGGCUUUCAGGUUCUGAUUGCAUGAAGUCAGCCCAUGAGUACAUGGGGCUAAAAUCACUGAAUGUAACCAAGGGAAGGUAAUAGUACUGUUGUUUGGACAUGUAUUGAACAUCAAUAAUGCAUUACACUCCAUCUGCAACACAGAAUUAGAUGCUGCCCCUGACUAGGAAUUCAUUAAUCUACGUGGAUAUACAGGCAACUAGGGGAUGCCUUGACAACAAGAAGGGAAACAUAGAAACUGUUUAGAUUAUCGACUUUUUAAAUAAAUGAAUCGUCUUUAGAGACUGUGGUUGUUGGGAGAAGAAAAACUUUAAGACAGAUCCUGAACUAAGUCAGACAGUGAGAACACAGGUUCUGUAUCCACACCAGAAUUCCCGAAAGUUCUGCCAGACUUUAAGCAAAGUGAGUAGAAGAACAUCCAGGCUUUUUAAAAUUAGGUUAUGAUUCACUCUACCAAAGUUCCAUUCAUUUUACUAAGGAAUUUACUUCUAAAUUCUUGCAAAUAACCUUAGCUCUUUGAAUGCAUUUCUAAUUGAAUUAGAAUUAUAAACACUGCAAAUUAGACUCAACUGCCAGAGACAGAAAAUUUGUACUACUCAUGUAAUUAACACACAUCCUUAGGCUCACAGGCAGUACUGACCAAGAAAUAAGAUCCUGAAUUAGGAUAACCUACCCUUAAUCUAAUGAUACCAUGCUUUUAGCUUGUUGGUCUUCAUCUCACAUUUCCUUAUGAUGCUUCAGCAUUUGUAAAGCUAUCUUCGAUUCUAAUAAAAUGAAUGUAAUGCAAGUUCAAUGAACAAUCACAAAACAUAUUGAUUGACAGGUGACUUUGGAUGUCACCUAACGAAACCUUCCUCCACAGUUGGGAAGCACCCCAGACACAUUCCUGAUAACCUCUGCUUAAGCACAUCCACUGACAGAUGUCCACUUCUCAAGGCUCUCCUGAGUCACUCAACUUCAGUGGUGUAGGAUCUCAUAUGGAACAGGCAACAUUUACAGAUGAAUAAGUAAAGUUCUAAAUUAAUGGAGGAAGAGUAAGAGGGAGAGUAUAUGUUUAUUUUAGUUAUCUCUGCUGUGCUGGAGCAUUUGGUUUUCUGACACUUCCAUUUCAAAUAUUCUAUGUAACUUCAUCUUCCUGUGAAUUCUUUCUACUAUACUACCUUCAGAUUUAUUCUCUAAAUCAAAAGAAUGAUAGCACCAAAAAUCCC
rnacentral:lncRNA from 1 species